AUACGGAGGGUGCAAGCGUUACUCGGAAUCACUGGGCGUAAAGCGCGCGCAGGCGGCUUGAUAAGUUGGAUGUGAAAGCCUACGGCUCAACCGUAGAACUGCAUCCAAAACUGUCAUGCUAGAGUCUGGGAGGGGAAGAUGGAAUUAGUUGUGUAGGGGUAAAAUCCGUAGAGAUAACUAGGAAUACCAAAAGCGAAGGCAAUCUUCUGGAACACUACUGACGCUGAGGCGCGAAGGCGUGGGGAGCAAACAGGAUUAGAUACCCCUGUAGUCC
rnacentral:rRNA from 1 species